AAACUCAGUAACCAUCAAAGACCGAGCAUACCAAGCCCUUAUUAGACCAAAACUUGAAUACUGCUGCACUGUCUGGGACCCCUACACAACAGAGAACAUUAACUCCAUAGAAAAAGUUCAAAGACGUGCAGCGAGAUAUGUAUGCUCAAACUACAAAUAUACUGAAAGUGUAACAAACAUGAUUAACACACUCCACUGGCCAACAUUACAAGAAAGGAGACUCAAAAGCAGAUUAAAUAUGUUCCAUAGAAUAACAAACAACAAAAUUGCCAUACCACAUACUGACAUAUUAAUUAAAAGCCAAUCAAACACCAGGUCUAGCCACGAACAAACAUACCGACAAAUUCGAUGCAGCA
rnacentral:lncRNA from 1 species